rnacentral:rRNA from 1 species
UGGGGAAUUUUGCGCAAUGGGGGAAACCUGACGCAGCAACGCCGCGUGGAGGAUGAAGUCCCUUGGGACGUAAACUCCUUUCGAUCGAGACGCGGGGGUGAACAAUCUCCGGGGUUGACGGUACCGAGAGAAGAAGCCCCGGCUAACUCC